rnacentral:rRNA from 1 species
UACACACCGCCCGUCACACCACGAAAGUCGGCAAUACCCGAAGCCGGUGAGCUAACCUCUUCGGAGGAGGCAGCCGUCGAAGGUAGGGUCGAUGAUUGGGGUG